rnacentral:rRNA from 1 species
CCUACGGGUGGCAGCAGUGAGGAAUAUUGGUCAAUGGUCGUGAGCCUGAACCAGCCAAGCCGCGUGAGGGAGGAAGGUACAGAGUAUCGUAAACCUCUUUUAUCAGGGAAUAAAGACCGGGACGUGUCCCGGGUUGUAUGUACCUUAUGAAAAAGCAUCGGCUAACUCCGUGCCAGCAGCCGCGGUAAUACGGAGGAUCCGAGCGUUAUCCGGAUUUAUUGGGUUUAAAGGGUGCGUAGGCGGCCUUUUAAGUCAGCGGUGAAAGUCCGGGGCUCAACCACAGAAUCGCCGUUGAAACUGGGAGGCUUGAGUUGGAUAGAGGUAUGCGGAAUGCGCGGUGUAGCGGUGAAAUGCUUAGAUAUCGCGCAGAACUCCGAUUGCGAAGGCAGCAUGCCAGGUCAUGACUGACGCUGAGGCACGAAAGCGUGGGGAUCAAACAGGAUUAGAUACCCGUGUAGUC